rnacentral:rRNA from 1 species
CUGGAGGGCCGAACCCACGCCUGUUGAAAAAGUCGGGGAUGAGCUGUGGCUAGGGGUGAAAGGCCAAUCAAACUCGGAGAUAGCUGGUUCUCCGCGAAAUCUAUUGAGGUAGAUCGUCGGGUGGUCACCCUGGGGGGUAGAGCACUGGAUGGGCUCGGGGGCCCCAAAGGCUUACCAACCCCAACCAAACUCCGAAUACCCAGGAGUGCAGCCCGGCAGACAGACGGUGGGUGCUAAGGUCCAUUGUCGAGAGGGAAACAGCCCAGACCACCAGCUAAGGUCCCAAAAUCGUGGUUAAGUGGGAAAGGAUGUGGGAAUUCCAAAACAACCAGGAGGUUGGCUUAGAAGCAGCCAUCCUUUAAAGAAAGCGUAAUAGCUCACUGGUCUAAUAGAAAUCCUGCGCCGAAGAUGUAACGGGGCUCAAACCACGUACCGAAGCUGGUAUCGGAAGUGCGAAUGCUGACAUGAGUAGCGACAAACAGAGUGAGAAACUCUGUCGCCGAAAGUCCAAGGGUUCCUGCGCAAGGUUAAUCCGCGCAGGGUGAGCCGGCCCCUAAGGCGAGGGCGAGAGCCGUAGCUGAUGGGAACCAGAUGAAUAGUCCUGGGCCUGCUGGAAGUGACGAAUGCAAUCUGUUGUUUGGUCUUAUUGGAUUGACCGGGCUUUGGGCGCAUUCCAGGAAAUAGCUCCAGCGUAUAGACCGUACCCUAAACCGACACAGGUGGACUGGUAGAGUAUACCAAGGCGCUUGAGAGAACGAUGCUGAAGGAACUAGGCAAAUUGCUCGCGUAACUUCGGGAUAAGCGAGACCCGCAUGUGGGCAACCAGGUGCGGGUGGCACAGAGCAGGGGGUAGCGACUGUUUAGUAAAAACACAGGGCUGUGCGAAGUCGUGAGACGACGUAUACGGCCUGACGCCUGCCCGGUGCCGGAAGGUUAAGAGGAGAUGUGCAAGCAUUGAAUCGAAGCCCCGGUAAACGGCGGCCGUAACUAUAACGGUCCUAAGGUAGCGAAAUUCCUUGUCGGGUAAGUUCCGACCUGCACGAAUGGC